rnacentral:rRNA from 1 species
CUACGGGGGGCUGCAGUGGGGAAUAUUGGACAAUGGGGGAAACCCUGAUCCAGCAAUGCCGCGUGUGUGAAGAAGGCCUGCGGGUUGUAAAGCACUUUCGGUUGGGAGGACUGCUUCUAGCACUAAUAUUGUUGGAAGUUGACGUUACCUUCAGAAGAAGCACCGGCUAACUCCGUGCCAGCUGCCGCGGUAAUACGGAGGGUGCAAGCGUUAAUCGGAAUUACUGGGCGUAAAGCGCGCGUAGGCGGCUAGAUCAGUCGGGUGUGAAAGCCCCGGGCUUAACCUGGGAACUGCAUCCGAUACUGUCUGGCUUGAGUACAGGAGAGGAGAGUGGAAUUCCACAUGUAGCGGUGAAAUGCGUAGAUAUGUGGAGGAACACCAAUGGCGAAGGCAGCUCUCUGGCCUGAUACUGACGCUGAGGUGCGAAAGCGUGGGGAGCAAACAGGAUUAGAUACCCCGGUAGUC